UACGGGGGGUGCGAGCGUUGUCCGGAAUUACUGGGCGUAAAGGGCGCGUAGGCGGCCCGCUAAGUCGAACGUGAAAUCCCCGAGCUCAACUCGGGAACUGCGUCCGAUACUGGUGGGCUUGAAUCCGGGAGAGGGAUGCGGAAUUCCAGGUGUAGCGGUGAAAUGCGUAGAUAUCUGGAGGAACACCGGUGGCGAAGGCGGCAUCCUGGACCGGCAUUGACGCUGAGGCGCGAAAGCUAGGGGAGCAAACGGGG
rnacentral:rRNA from 1 species